rnacentral:rRNA from 1 species
AGAGUUUGAUCCUGGCUCAGGACGAACGCUGGCGGCGCGCCUAACACAUGCAAGUCGAACGAGAGAGAGGGAGCUUGCUUCCUUGAUCGAGUGGCGAACGGGUGAGUAACGCGUGAGGAACCUGCCUCAAAGAGGGGGACAACAGUUGGAAACGACUGCUAAUACCGCAUAAGCCCACGGCUCGGCAUCGAGCAGAGGGAAAAGGAGCAAUCCGCUUUGAGAUGGCCUCGCGUCCGAUUAGCUAGUUGGUGAGGUAACGGCCCACCAAGGCAACGAUCGGUAGCCGGACUGAGAGGUUGAACGGCCACAUUGGGACUGAGACACGGCCCAGACUCCUACGGGAGGCAGCAGUGGGGAAUAUUGCACAAUGGGGGAAACCCUGAUGCAGCGACGCCGCGUGGAGGAAGAAGGUCUUCGGAUUGUAAACUCCUGUUGUUGAGGAAGAUAAUGACGGUACUCAACAAGGAAGUGACGGCUAACUACGUGCCAGCAGCCGCGGUAAAACGUAGGUCACAAGCGUUGUCCGGAAUUACUGGGUGUAAAGGGAGCGCAGGCGGGCGAUCAAGUUGGAAGUGAAAUCCAUGGGCUCAACCCAUGAACUGCUUUCAAAACUGAUUGUCUUGAGUAGUGCAGAGGUAGGCGGAAUUCCCGGUGUAGCGGUGGAAUGCGUAGAUAUCGGGAGGAACACCAGUGGCGAAGGCGGCCUACUGGGCACCAACUGACGCUGAGGCUCGAAAGUGUGGGUAGCAAACAGGAUUAGAUACCCUGGUAGUCCACACCGUAAACGAUGAUUACUAGGUGUUGGAGGAUUGACCCCUUCAGUGCCGCAGUUAACACAAUAAGUAAUCCACCUGGGGAGUACGACCGCAAGGUUGAAACUCAAAGGAAUUGACGGGGGCCCGCACAAGCAGUGGAGUAUGUGGUUUAAUUCGACGCAACGCGAAGAACCUUACCAAGUCUUGACAUCCUGCGACGAUGCUAGAAAUAGUAUUUUCCUUCGGGACGCAAAGACAGGUGGGGCAUGGUUGCCGCCAGCUCGUGCCGGGGAAAGUUGGGUUAAGUCCCGCAACGAGCGCAACCCUUAUGGUCAGUUACUACCCAAGAGGACUCUGGCCGGAUUGCCGUUGCAAAAACGAAAAAAGGGGGGGAUGACCUCAAAACCUCUUGCCCUUUAUGAAUUGGGGUAACCCGGUAUACAAAGGGUGUAACAAAGAGAAGAAAAACCCCAGGUGGGGGAAAAUUAAAAAACACUUCCCAGUUCGGACUGCAGGCUGCAACUCGCCUGCACGAAGUCGGAAUUGCUAGUAAUCGCAGAUCAGCAUGCUGCGGUGAAUACGUUCCCGGGCCUUGUACACACCGCCCGUC